rnacentral:rRNA from 1 species
AUUGAACGCUGGCGGCAGGCUUAACACAUGCAAGUCGAGCGGAGACUUCGGUCUUAGCGGCGAACGGGUGAGUAAUACCUAGGAAUCUGCCUAUUAGUGGGGGAUAACGAAUCGAAAGGUUCGCUAAUACCGCAUACGUCCUACGGGAGAAAGGGGGGGAGUCUUCGGACCUCUCGCUAAUAGAUGAGCCUAGGCCGGAUUAGCUAGUUGGUAGGGUAAAGGCCUACCAAGGCGACGAUCUGUAGCUGGUCUGAGAGGAUGGCCAGCCACACUGGAACUGAGACACGGUCCAGACUCCUACGGGAGGCAGCAGUGGGGAAUAUUGGACAAUGGGGGCGAACCCUGAUCCAGCCAUGCCGCGUGUGUGAAGAAGGCCUCGGUUGGUUAAGACGACUUAAGUACG